rnacentral:tRNA from 1 species
UCCCCGGUAGCUCAGUUGGUUUAGAGCAUCGUGCUUAUGUGUUUCCUUUUAUUUCACGAGGGUCGGGAGUUCGACUCUCCUCCGGAGAA